GCGCUCAUAGCUCAGCUGGAUAGAGCAAUGGCCUACGAAGCCAUAGGUCAGAGGUUCGAAUCCUCUUGAGCGCACCA
rnacentral:tRNA from 1 species